AACGAACGCUGGCGGCAUGCCUAACACAUGCAAGUCGAACGAGACCUUCGGGUCUAGUGGCGCACGGGUGCGUAACGCGUGGGAAUCUGCCCUUGGGUUCGGAAUAACAGUUGGAAACGACUGCUAAUACCGGAUGAUGACGUAAGUCCAAAGAUUUAUCGCCCAAGGAUGAGCCCGCGUAGGAUUAGCUAGUUGGUGAGGUAAAGGCUCACCAAGGCGACGAUCCUUAGCUGGUCUGAGAGGAUGAUCAGCCACACUGGGACUGAGACACGGCCCAGACUCCUACGGGAGGCAGCAGUGGGAAUAUUGGACAAUGGGCGAAAGCCUGAUCCAGCAAUGCCGCGUGAGUGAUGAAGGCCUUAGGGUUGUAAAGCUCUUUUACCCGGGUAUGAUAAUGACAGUACCGGGAGAAUAAGCUCCGGCUAACUCCGUGCCAGCAGCCGCGGUAA
rnacentral:rRNA from 1 species